rnacentral:rRNA from 1 species
CCCUUAGACGUUCUGGGCCGCACGCGCGCUACACUGACCAGUGCAACAAGCAUCCGUCCUUGGCCGACAGGCUCGGGCAAUCUUUGAACGCUGGUCGUGAUGGGGAUAGACUUUUGCAAUUUUUGGUCUUCAACGAGGAAUUCCUAGUAAACGCAAGUCAUCAACUUGCAUUGAUUACGUCCCGGCCCUUUGUACACACCGCCCGUCGCACCUACCGAUUGAAUGGUCCGGUGAAGCCUCCGGAUUGGCGCGCACCUCGGUGCCGCCGAGAAGUUGGCUAAACCUUACCAUUUAGAGGAAGGUGAAGUCGUAACA